UCCAAAGGGUGGUUGUACAAAGCUCCAAAUGCAUAUGGAACAAUUAGCCGGUGAUGUUGAGCAUGGAUAUGUUUGUACAAGAACUUGUUUUGGUGCAUGUACCGAUGCAUAAAAUAUUGCCAAGUAUCUAACAUCAACAUGGCAACAAAUAACUGUCUGCCAAGAACAAAGAUUGAAGCAUGUUGAUCCCCACCAGAUUCACCAUCAUCUCCUGUGACCUGCUCCAUAUUAGUAGAUAAUCAGACACCAAGAAUUAGUCAAAAUAGAAACAUAAAAAUUGACAUGAUUUGGAACAAGAAUAUGAGAAUCGGGUUCAUGAUUGGAACAAGAUACUAAAAGUAGAGAAAACAAGUAUGAAAAGUUCAACUCCUCAUGGUAUAUACUUAAGUUACUUAUCAGAACAUACAAAAGGUGUACAACUUUUAGCUCAUUGAUCGGAGAUAAAUCGUAUUCGGUAUGAGCUAGCCCUCUACUAAUUAAACUUAUCUACUUUCCUCUCUUACCAAAGUGAAAGGAAACAAAAGCAGUGCAUUAGUUGAGGUCAGGACUCAAGAGACCCAACUAAUGGACCACAAAUAAAAUAAGUUUUGAGUAGAGAUUUUAAGGGGAUAGAUAUGAGUUAGGCCUUUGCAACAUAGUUUAUAGAAGUGGUUGAAACUAACUUCGCAAAUUAGGCUACAGCCUACACACAUAGCAACGCAAGCCAAAGGAAAGACAAGACCACAUUGUUUCCUUUUUAUAUCUCUUCUUUGCAGGUUAGAAAAACGAAUCUAUCCCUCAAUAUAUCCAAGUUCACAUAUUGCAGUUGAAAAUAUCUUCUCAGCUCUUUCCACAAUUCCAAACAUAUGUGAAGUAGCACGGUAGAAAGCUUUAUUGGGAGGUCACAGUUAGGCCUCCUAUUCUCAACUAUUAAGCUGCACCGUCAACUAACUUUGCAAGACAGAUGGACACCAAGAAGAAGGUAGACAACGAAAUGAAAAAGAAGAGCAAUGAUUCCCCAUUUUCUUUAGUAGAGGCAGAUUAAAGCCAAUAAAAGCUUAUUCUUAGGAUAGUCUCGACAUCCUUGUAGACAGUUUCUAUAUGAGACGUCUAGUAGUCUCAUCCCCAGCAUCAGCAUCGACAGCCAAGAUCAAAACAAUGCCGAUUGAGCCGCUUUGGCAACUUAUUUUCCUAGAAGAACUUCAAAGUCAACCUUUCUUUAUAAAAUCAAAUGACUCAAAACUGAGGUUCAACAGUUUGCAUCUAACUUUUACAGAACUCCUAGUUUCCUAUCACUCAAAGAAAAUCAAACCUGCAAGCUUCAGCAUUUCAUAUAAACUUCCUUAUCAAAAAUAUUUCAUAUAAAGUUAAUGAUGAAAUUUCUGUUCAGAUAACUGUCGACUAUCACUUUUUAGGUUCAAGAGAUUUUGAGACACUUCAUAACGUAAAUUAUAAUAUAUAGAUAUAAAACACUCUACAUAAGUAGCCUUGAAGGCUUGUCAAGGCAGGAAAAAAAGAAAUUUGCACACUUUGUGAUUGACCUACACAAGAAGUUAUACUUCUUGCUCUUGUACUUCAAUUGAAUUUGUUUAUUCUGUGCAUGAAGGAUUCAUCUAAAUGAUAGGUAAAACAAGUAAGCUGUGGAUUAACAUCCAAAUAAAGCAUUGUAUCAUAGUUCCUCUGACAAAUGACUCCUUUACCGAAAAAUGUAUAUAAAUAAAUAUUAAGAAACCGUUAAGGACUAAGGUAGAACAAUUUUACCAUCCAUCUAUCGGAUGGAUUCUAGGAUCACACACACAAGCAUGAAAAAGCUCCUCCCUCAAGUCAAUGAAUAUAAUUCAAAAUGUUUGAAAUCAGCCUAACAACAAAUGAUAUUCAAUUUGAAAUCCAACAACAUUUGCCUAGCAGUGCCAAUUCGGACAAAAGAACUAUUAUUACACCGCCAUCGCAUCCAAAUAUUCCCCUUUCCAUGACUCACCCCGCGUUGUAAUACACAACAUCCAAUUAUGAGUUGCACAUACCAUUGACAAAAUCAUAUGACUCACCCCACGUUGUAAUACACAACAUUCAAUUAUGAAUUGCACAUACCGUCAACAAAAUCAUACACUCAUAAAUCAAAUAAUUUCUAAACCUUAAGCCGUCAACAGACAUAAGCAUUUCAUUCCAAUCAAAACAAAGCCAAACAAGCAUAUACAUAAUAAGUUAUCAAUAUCAACUAAGCCUCAAGAGUUAACCAAAUAAAUCCCAUGUAUCAUUACGGUUCACCAAACAAGCAUAUGGCAUGAUAAGUUAUCAACAUUAACUAAGCCUCAAUAGUUAACCAUCAAAUCCUCUGUAUCAUUACGAUGCAUACAAAGAAGACCAAACAAGCAUAUGCAUAGUAAGUUAUCAAUGUUUACAUCCCUACUCUAUUCAAAUAGGGUGAAACGUCGAGAUGACUCAAAAAGUAAACAAUUGAUUCAAUUUUAAAAGAAUUUUAAGAAUAAACGAAUUUUAAAGGAGUCGCCACCUAAUUUUAGGAAAACUAGGAAACUAAUUAAUUAAUCUACGAAAUCAAGAGAUUCUAGGUAAGGGGCUCAAGUUAUUCCGAAGGGAAGGGGUUAGGCAUCCUUCGAAAUCCACAAAUGUGGGUCCCGACUGAACUCAUUUUUUCAAAUUGAGGAUGAGAAUAAAAUAACGUACAAAUAUAAUAAACAUGCAAUAUACACAAGUAAUAUGAUAAAACAAUAAUAUAGGAAUCGGCCUAAAUUUGCCUAUCGUCAAUAAUAUACAAUAUGAAUAGGAGUAUAAUUCGAACCUAAUUCGAAUAACUUCAAUGGGAAGCAUCUCCGAGUACCUGUAAAGACACUUAGUAAAAGUGUUAGUUAUAAAUAAAUAUGAAUAAAAAUAAAUGAAUCAAAUAUUAAUUUAAAAAUAAAAAUCCGUCUUAUUAGCAUGGAAGGCCUUGGAAAUCGAUGGUAAUUUCUUCAUCGGCCAAUUUCAACUUGUAACAAAUAUAAAUUUAAACUAAAUUUCCGUCUUUUAAAAUGGGAAGGCCUCGAAAACCGACGGAGAAAAUUUUUCAUUGGCCAAUUUUAAUUAUUUUUUCAAACAUCAAAUUGUAUAAAACUAAUAAGAGAUAAUAUGAAAUAAUAACAACAUCCUAACAACAACAAUUUUAUGUAGCUAACGAGAACGGUAUAAUAUAGUAUGCGACAUUUAAAUAAUAUCAACACAACAAAAGGAGUAAUACAAUAAAAAUAAUCAAAUGAUAAUGAUUGGAAACGUAACUGGUUGAAAAUUUUUAAAAAUAAAAAUGCACGUAAUAAAUCCCAAUAAUAACUUAAGAGAAGUGAUAUGAUAACAAAAUAAAGAAGCAAAAAUUGCCCAAGUAAAAAUAAACUAAGAUAAAAUACAAUAGAGAUGAAAUUAACAGAAAAUUCUAUAAUGCAAUAAAAUAAAAUCAACUCUAACUUAACAAGAAACAUAAUAAGCUUAGAAAUCUAAGUACAAAAUGACAAUAGACUUAAGCAUUAGUCAACAUUUAAUAACCCAAAUAAAGUUGUCAAUCACUAACCCAACAAAUUAUAAAUAAAUAAAAUUGUAACAAAUAAAGAAUAAAAGAAGAUAGAUCAUAAUAUUAAAAACCAUAACAAUGAAUACUCAAACAAAAAAGUCAAAGUAGAGACAAAGAUAAACAUAUAUAGAAGACCUGUAAACAACAACAAAAAUGAAAAUAACAAUGGCAUAAAAGAGGAAGGGAGAUUUGUGUUACUAGUCGAGUUUUGGAGCUCGUGUUGUUGUUCGCUGGAGCUGGUUGGAUCUGGCGUCCGCUCGGAGUUGUUGGGUCUGUUGCUUCGCCGGAGUUUUGAGCUUGCCGGUUCGAGUGAAAUCCUGCAAAAACAAGUUAAAAAUCGAGAAAGGAAAAGGAUCGGGUAGUGGUCGGAGUUGUUGUUUUGCUCCGGUUAAUCGGGUUUGUGCCGCCAUUAAUGGCGUUUUCCGGUGGUUUGGAGUUGUUUAGUGUUGGUUUCUGAUGGGUCUGGUUAAGGAAAACAGGGGUUUAGUGAUGGGGUUUCGAUGGGUGUUUUCUGGUGGUUUUCUGAUGGAGUUUGUGGGCUGUUUCAGCUCUUUCUGGUGGUUGUUGGUUGUUUGGUGAGCUCAUGGUGUGGUGGAGCUCGUUGGUUGCCGAAAAAUGGGUUUUGAGCUGGUGGUUUGGCCGAAAAAGGGUCGUUGAUGUAGGACGAAUGUAUCUCAUAAAAUUUUGUCAUGUAUGUAUGUCGUGUGUGUCUACUAAUUCAACUUUAUACUAGUUUAAGUAUCUACUUACACACACCUUAAAUUGAGGACAUUUAACGGUGGAAUAGUAAGUUAACUAUGAGGUGAGGAAGUGAAGAAAGAAACCAUAAUACUGUGUAUUGUAUGUCAAUUGCUCUUCUUCCCCAGUCCACAUCAAUUUUAAUUCUUGUGUCAACAUUUAACCUUAUAUUAAUUUAUUUAGAUUUGUCAUAGUGAAAUUAUUUUCCAUGUGGAGUGUCACAUGACAGAAUUUCAAAACAAAAGAGAGAGGGCAAUACACAACAUCAUAAAUUAGUCGAGAGGUGUUUCGCUAACUAUUGAGUGAUAGUUCAAGAAGGAAACUCAGACUCUCAAUAAUUCAGAUAUGAAACUCAAAAAAUUGAAUAGUUUAGGUGUAUUUUUUAUCCUUUAACUCUUUCGUUAAUAAAGGGGAAAUAAGCCCUAUUAUUGUUCGUCGGCCAUUCCAAGACCAAAUUAGUCAUUUUGGAAAGUUGAACUUUGUAUAGAUGGAUCAGACUCGGUUAGGGUUGUUGGAUGCGACGGGGAAGUGGGAUUGGGUCGGGUCAAGAUAGAGGAAAUUGGGGGUUGCUGGGGGGGGAUAGGGUAUCACAACCCGAUAUAUUUUUUAUGUGUAUAUAGUUUGUUAUUUACCCUUGAUUUCUUUCUAUGUUUACAUCUCUAUAAUUUCAUUAAGUCAAUCUUUUCUCUUAAACCCGAUGAAUGAAUUAAAUAAAUUGGCAGACAGCCUCGAUUUAUAUAUUUAAGUAUUUUAUUUUUUUAAAAUAUUUUAAAUUAAAUAAGUUUUAAAAAUAUUCGUAAUAACCAAUGGCAGGUCAAUUUUUAAGUUUCUGCAUUGUUUUUAAUUUUAAUUUUGUAGAAAAUCGACGGACAUUGUUGAUUAGUUCGAUCAAUUUUUCACCCAAAAAAGAAUGCAGAAACGUGCAAUUUCUGCAUCUCACUUGUCAAAUGUAAUUAAUUGCAAUUCAAUAUUUACUUGUAAACCAACACUAAAUGUGCAAAAAUCAAUUUUAACUGAGCUAUAAUAUCAGGAACAAACUGACUAAAUACAUACUAAAUACCCAUCAAACAAUCUAAAAGGUCUACCAAAGUUCAUUCAUUUACAAAACAUUCAAUUACCAAAUAGUAUUAAAAUUAUCAAGUCAAUAAUAUUCCUAAUUAAGGUAUCUAGGCAACAUUUAAAUAAACCGAUGGACAAUGUCGGGUUUUUUAAAUAUAUAUAUAUUUUUUAAAUAAACUGACUUUGUUCGUCGCUUUCUAAUAUUUAUAUUUUCUCCCAAAAAAAUCGUUUGCAAAAUUUAUGGACCAUCUCAAAAAAUUUAUCCAAUGCAAAAAAUCGAGAGAUGUCUCUCAAUUUAUUAUAAAAAUAUUUUAAAAAAAAUAAAUUGAAAGGAAUAAAUGGAUGGACACGUUAAGUGUGGCCUCAAUUUAUAAGAGCGAUUAUAUCCAUCGAUUUUGACCCAAUUUUUUCAGGGUUGUAUCAUUAGUUAUUGUUGAGUCCGGUCAAAAGGGUAACUUUUUUCUUUCAAAAUAUUAAAACGGCACAUCAAAAAAAAAUUUAACCAAAAAAAAAGUUGACGUCGUCGGUUAAGAAAAUUAAAAAAAACUUUUUUUCUUCAAAAUCGUUAAGAAUUUUUUUAAAAAAAGUUUUUUUUAAAACCGCUAUACUUCUAGUGAUUUUGAUAAAAUUAAAAAAAAAGGUUUUUUUUUAUGUGUUUAAUUUUGCCUCUUUUGAUGGUGAUGGUGGUGAUGGGUUGAGUUUUGGACAUUUGAAGACAUUUAAUUUGAAGAACAAAAGAGAGAGCAUUAAGAAUAUGAAUUAUUUAACUUCUUAAAUGGAAGAAGUAAAAAAGAGGAAGAUAAGUGAUGAAAGAAGGUGGAAAAAGGAAGAGUAGUGACAUGGAUGAAGUAAAAACGCUGCUCCUGCAGUGAUGUAAGGAAAAAAAAUAUUUGAUUUAAAAUCGCUGUUGUGGCAGCGAUUUUUAAUAAAAAAAAAAAGAAAAAAAGUUUUUGGACAAAAUUGCUGCUAGGGGCAGCGAUUUUUAGUCAUUGUGUCAGAGGGAAAUUGAUUCGUCAGGAGUGAUUUUGCCUUUUUGACUUUAAAAAAAAUUGAUAUAUUCUUUUGGAAAUUUUGACAAUUUUUUUUGCUCUUUUAGCUCCGAACUCAAUUAUUGUUCUUAUCUCGCAGUACUUAUCCUUUCAUAAUUGUUCUUGGAUUUUAUUUUUUGGAGCAUUACAUAUCACAGUUGAACUAUUUAAACAAUUAUUGCCCGCUGUUACAAUUAUUUCAAUGCCCAUAAGUCAUAUCAUCGAUAGGGGAUGAGCUAAAACCUACGAAUUCGACGUAAUUCAAUAAUUUUAAUUUUAAUUAUGUGUAUAUAUAAAAAAUUUAUUUAGUUUGUAUUAAUAAAAAUAUAAUAUAUUCGAAAUUCAAUAAAUUAAAUUAACUUUUUAAAAAUUCAUAAAUCCUAAAGUUAUAUUUGCACUUUACCUGUCUGCCUUCCUCGAAUACUUUUGAAUAUGCAUAAUUCUUAGCAUGUCUUUUAACUUGGUCUUAUUUUACAUUUAUGUCCUUCAAUUUUGUGUGUACACAAGUAUGCACGUAAAUUUGUAUAACGUUAAACAAGUAUAUGAGUCCCAUGACAUAAUACAUGUAGGGUAGGGGUGUAUAAAACCGAACCAAAAACCGAAUCAAACCGCAAAUCGAGAAAAAAAAACCGACUAGUGGUUGGUUUGACUUGGUUUGGUAUUGAAAAAAAAAAUCUGACUAUAUUUGGGUUGAUUUGGUUUUAACUAAAAAUCAACCCAAGAUCGAACCAACCCGACAUUAUAUAUAUAAUUUUUAAUUUUCAUUUUAUAAAUAAAAAUAUUUACUUUGAUAUAAUUUUUAAAUAUUUCUUAUACUUUUUCAUAGUUUUUAUUUUUUAAUAUAUUAUUUCAAGUUUGAAACUUAGAAUUCUGAAUGUUUCAAUAAAGAUUAUAGUCUGCAGAUGUUGGUAAUUAUAAUAAAACUUAAAUCAAAAUCAAAUUAAUAUUAAUGCAAAAAGAAAAUCAAUUCAACACUAAGAAUGACAAUAAUAUUGAAUAUUUGUUCUUUGAUUUUACAUUUUACACAAUUCAAAUACAUAAUUAUUAUUAUUUUUUGGUUGGAUAUUUAGUGUCAUCACUCAUAUCAUAUUUUGUGUUAUUUUCUUAAGAAACACCUUGAAUAGUUGUAUUUUGGUAGGACUAAAGAAAUAUUUGAAGUACAAGUAAUUAAAUUAUAUGAUUGUAUGAAUACUUUACUGGAAAAAUUCGAAAAAACCCAAAAAUUCGAAAAAAUCCGUAAAACCCCGAGUUUUAUUGGUUUGGUUUGAUUUAUAGAUCAAAAUCUGACACAAAUGAUUUGGUUUGAUAUUUAAAAAACCCGAACCAACUCGGCGUACACCCCUAAUGCAGGGCAAUAUAUUGGAUGCAAAUUAUUAUGUAAGAUGUCAUGUAGGACAUGUAUGUUUAUUUGUUUAACUUUAUCUAUUUAUAUGCAACCAAACUUGGAGAACAUAAAUAUAAAUCGAGUUCAAGUUAUUAAAGGAUAUAUGGUAUAAUACCUGUUGAAUAAUUCUUUGGCACUUAAUCUUAGUGCGCCAGCAAAUGAUUUUUUUUUUUUUUUGUUUGUAUGGCCCAACUCCUUCAAAAUAUCUUACGCGCAGUGGAGAGACCUAUUUCUUAUCUUCUACUUCCUCUUUAUGAAUCUUUUUUUCUUUUUAGCUAAAAGUUAUACUCACAUACAUAUUACUUACUAUUUAUUCUAGAUUAUAAGUUUCAAAAAAGUUUAAUUCCCAGUCCACAACAGUGUUCUUCAUUCCCAGUCCACAACAGUUCUAAUUCUUGUGUAACAAGGAUGUAUUUCAACAAUGAAUUGUCUGAUCUGAAAAAUAGCUUCCGUAGAAGGCUGGAACUUUUCACUGACUCGGAUGUUGGAAGGGAUCGAAUAAAUUUCUUUCUAUGGGAGUUAAAAUUUCUUGAUUGUUUUCUCUAUUUGAAAAGGUUACCUUUUGCAAGUGAAUGCGGUAUUCUAAAUGUCUCACAGAAAAUGAUAGAAUUUUGGAAUAUUCCGUGGGAUAGGGUAAUUACUAUGUAUAUGUAUGCUAAAAGAACUAGUCCUUUCGAUGCAUUUGUCUACUGGAAGGAGGCAAUUUGGAAGACUAAGCAAGAAUUCAGAGCCCAAUACUCCUUUCCGAAAUCACCACUUGCAGCCAACAAGGUGAGCCCCGAAUUUGUGAUGGAAGUCAUCGAUGAUUUUGUGGGGAACAUCAAUGUUCUAGUGAAGAUCAAUGAUCCAUGUUCGUGGUUUUUUGUUCCAGGACUCAAGGAACAAAUAGAACAAGUGUUAAAGGAGUUGAAGUUAUUGAGAUUUUUUGUCUGCUUUGUUUCAAACAAAUGUAUAGAGCCUCAAUACGGAUGUACUACUUUUUAUACUCAUGCUUUAAUUGAGGCCAGUCACAUCGCAAUGGUUGUGUGGAUGCAUUUGCCAGUCUAUGGCAACGGAAAUCAAGACUUGGCUCCAACUGAAGUCAGUCGUUUGCUUUUCUGAUUUCAUGGAAAUGAAGAUUAAGCCCAUUCAGCCAGGCAACAGUAUUUAUAUUGAUGUCCUGCAAGCUUUGAAGUCAACCAUACCACAAGCUCAAAAGAAGCAUGCAGCUGAGAGUGGCAUUGUGGAGAUUCCAACAAACGGUUUGACGGUUGGUUUCAGUGAUCAAAUGGCUAACCUUCAGGACAUGCUCUGCCUUCUAAGAGACAAUCUCAUUCAUCUGCCAAUACUAGAUCUGGAAUUUCAUCUUCAAGAUAUGGAUUCUGUUAUUGUUGAUGCAGGACUUCUUAUUUACUCAUUAUAUGAUAUCAAGGGGGAGAAGGAAGACACAAUAUUGGAUGAUAUGAACCGAGCACUUGGUUUUGAUCUUCCAAGAAACAUUGAGCCGAUCAAGGCGAUGGUCUACCUUGUCAUGCAAAAGGCAUUUCAAUCUAACUUGCCAAGGAUUCAUGGACUAGGCUAUGCCGAUUUUCUAUUGAAACACCUGAAGGAUUUCCAAGGCCGUUAUUCAGAUUCACUUGCUUUCCUCAAAAAUCAACUUCAAGUAAUUCAAACGGAAUUUGAGAGCAUGCAACCUUUCCUGAAGGCUGUUGUAGAAGGGCCACACAACAAGCUCAAGACACUGAAUGAAGAUUGUGCUAUACAGAUAAUUAGGAAAGCACAUGAGGUUGAAUAUGUAGUUGAUGCUUGUAUUAACAAAGACGUUCCUCAGUGGUGCAUCGAGUGUUGGCUCCAGGAUAUCAUAGAGAAGAUUACUUGUAUCAAAGCAAAGAUUCAGGAAAAGAACAUGGUUGAGGAUACAAUGAAGACUGUCAUUGCUAGUACAUCAUCACAAUUGGUAAGGACUCCAAGGAUGAAUGAAGAGAUUGUUGGGUUUGAGGAUGUCAUAGAAAAUUUAAGAAAAAAACUACUGAAUGGAACCAAAGGGCAAGAUGUCAUUUCAAUUCACGGCAUGCCAGGUUUAGGUAAGACGACUUUAGCCAACAGACUCUAUUCUGACAGGUCAGUUGUUUCUCAAUUUGAUAUUUGUGCACAAUGUUGUGUGUCUCAAGUAUAUUCGUAUAAGGACUUGUUAUUGUGCUUGAUACAUGAUGCUAUUGGUGAGGAUUCUGAUCAGCAUAGAGAACUUCAUGACAAUGAAUUAGCUGAUAAGCUUCGCAAAACCUUAUUGCGCAGAAGGUACCUUAUCCUUGUUGAUGAUGUGUGGGAAGAUAGUGUUUGGGAUGAUUUAAGAGGUUGUUUUCCAGAUGCCAAUAACAGAAGCAGAAUCAUUCUAACGACAAGACAUCAUGAAGUUGCCAAAUAUGCUCGUGUUCAUAGUGAUCCCCUUCAUCUUCGUAUGUUUGACGAAGAUGAAAGUUGGAAGUUGCUUGAAAAGAAAGUGUUUGGUGAACAAAGCUGCUCCCCUCUCCUAAGAGAUGUUGGGCUAAGAAUAGCAAAAAUGUGUGGACAACUCCCUCUUUCAAUUGUUUUGGUGGCUGGUAUUCUGUCGGAGAUGGAAAAGGAAGUAGAAUGUUGGGAACAAGUGGCCAACAAUUUGGGUACCCACAUUCACAAUGACUCAAGAGCCAUUGUAGACCAAAGUUAUCAUGUUUUACCCUGUCAUCUUAAGUCUUGCUUCCUUUAUUUUGGAGCAUUUUUAGAGGAUAGAGUGAUUGAUAUUUCAAGGUUAAUAAGGUUAUGGAUAUCAGAAUCACUUAUAAAAAGUUGUGAAGACAGGAGCUUGGAGGAUAUAGCAGAAGGUUACUUGGAGAAUCUUAUUGGAAGAAAUCUAGUAAUGGUUACUCAGAGGGCCAUUUCAGAUGGUAAGGUCAAAGCAUGUCGCCUUCAUGAUGUAUUACUCGACUUCUGCAAGGAAAGAGCAGCUGAGGAGAAUUUUCUACUAUGGAUAAAACGGUAAUAUGAUAAGUAAUGCUACUUUCAAUCAAUCAAGUAUUUCAAGUUAUAUUUGAAAAUUAAUGAUAUGAUUUUGCUAAUUGAUAUAUUCACAGGGAUCAGAGUACCCAAACUGUUUACUCUCACAAGCAGCAUGCUCACUUAGCCUUCACUGAAAUGGAUACUCUUGUAGAAUGGAGUGCAUCUUGCUCAUUUGUUGGCUCUGUACUUCUUAAGAAUUAUGACCCACACUUUGACGCAUUUCACUUAGCCUUCGCAAUGAGUACAUCCUCUCAUGCUUUUGCAAUUUCACGCAUUUUAUUAAAUUUCAAGUUUCUAAAAGUAUUGGAUUUGGAGCACGACGUUGUUAUUGAUUUUAUUCCAAUUGAGCUCUUUUACUUGAGGUAUUUAUCUGCACACAUUGAUCAGGAUUCAAUUCCUUCAAGCAUAUCCAAUCUUUGGAACCUUGAAACUCUUAUAUUAAAUCGUAGACCAGUUGUUAAUCAGGAAACGCUAUUACUACCUAGUACAAUUUGGGAUAUGGUUAAACUGAGACAUCUGCAUAUUCGUAACUUUAGCGCAGAAAGUGAAGAUGCAUUACUCGAGAACUCCCCAGAACUUUCUGAUUUGGAAAGCCUUUCCAGUCCAUUUUUCGCUCAUGUUGAGGAUGCAGAAUUGAUGCUGAGAAAAACACCUAAUCUUCGAAAACUGAUAUGUAAAGUCCAGUCCUUAGAAUACCCCCAUCAGUACCAUGUGUUGAAUUUUCCAAUACGGCUUGAAAUACUAAAGCUUUAUCGAUUAAAAGCCUUUAAAACCAUCCCCUUUUACAUCUCUGCACCAAAUCUCAAAUACCUAGAACUCUCUGGCUUUUACCUAAAUUCUCAGUAUUUAUCAGAAACUGCUGAUCAUUUGAAGAACCUUGAGGUACUCAAACUGUACUACGUUGAAUUUGGUGAUCAUAGGAAAUGGAAAGUGAGCAAUGGCAAGUUCCCUCAACUCAAAAUCUUGAAACUAGAAGAUUUGUCCUUGAUGAAAUGGAUUGUAGCUGAUGAUGCCUUUCCUAACCUUGAACAAUUGGUUUUGCGUGGAUGGCGACAUCUUGAGGAGAUCCCUUCUUGUUUCAUGGACAUCCUUUCUCUCAAGUACAUCGAGUUAGAAAACUGCAAUGAGUCGGUUGUCAAGUCAGCCAUGAAUAUACAAGAAACACAAGUCGAAGAUUAUCAAAAUACUAAUUUCAAGCUCCUCAUCAAGGUACACUACUGAAAAAAGCUUUAUUCUGCAUGAUUUUGAUGAAUCAGAAAUGGCCUAAAUUUUAUGAACUGUUUUCUCCUGUUAUCUUUACCUGGUGCCCUCGUUUUACAUUUGGGUUUUUCUCUUGGUUUUCUUGCAGAAAAAGACCUCAAUGCGUUUAAAAGAAUAUUUUUUCCUCCAGGUACUACUUUUUUUUUUUCAUUCUUUCCUUUUUUUGAGUACACCGAAUAGAUAGAUUCAUCUUUUUUGUCUUUUCGAUAUGAAAGGAGAUAUAAUCAAUUUCAACUGAUAUGAAAGAGAAGAAACUUACUGUGACCAGAGAUGUGGAUGCUGAUGAAGUUCAAUUAGUUGUGGAGAAACUGAGAAAGCGUGGCAUGCUCUAACAAAAUGCUGAGCUCUGGUGAACUCAACCAUGAUGGAUUUCCAAAUAAUGACAGGGUUGUAGUCCCAACUUGUCAACACAAAUGUGCUAUAGUCAUUUUGCUUACUGUAAUACCAUUUCAUGACACACACACACAAACAUAAACUGUAGUAAAGUUUUGAUGGAUCAGCUGAUUUGUUAGUGCAACCCAUUGUAAUCCGUUCAAAUUCAACUCAAAAAAUGCCCAUUGAGUUAUUCUUUAACAGGGUAUCCAGAGUUUGUAGCUGGAGCAAUUUGGAAUAUCACAUGUAAUUUCUUUAUGAGUUAUUUCGUUUAAUAAAGAUUCUGUAAAACGUCCAAUACAUCUUACAAUGUAACUAUUGAACCUAUUAGAUCUGAGACAAUGUUUAAAAAGGAAACUAUUAUUCGACCCUAUUCCUUUCUCAAACCUCGAAACCAACACCAGUUAUACAACAAUAUAUGCAGAACCCUUUAACUAUAUACUCUAUACAGAUUAAAUGAGUAACUAAGCAUUUGAAGAAGACAAAAAUUGCAGUGGUACAUACUUUAUGACAAACAUGUACUAACAGUAUUGUCAAUGUUCCUUGCAAUCUUUAACAGGCUUAGCUUCAAAACCUCCUUUCGGUCUCCUCUCAAGUUCAUAUGGCAUGUAAGUACCAAGUAUCCUAUCCCACGUCACAAAGAAGGCUGUGAAUAGUUAUACUUAGGUCCCAUAAAGCUGGUGAUGGAUAUCAUGGUAAGCGGAGUGUUUUUAAAGAAGAUAUGGAAGAGAUUUCCGGGCAACCAUAGUCCGCAAUGAUCAUCAACCGUCUUGAUCGUAGCAAAUGAGAAAAGAAGAUGGAGGUACGUGGUGACAUGCCAGAGACAUGGAAAGCUAGAGCCCCGCCGAUUGUGUCAAGAAUCAGACCCUCCAAAGGGUGGUUGUACAAAGCUCCAAAUGCAUAUGGAACAAUUAGCCGGUGAUGUUGAGCAUGGGUAUGUUUGUACAAGAACUUGUUUUGGUGCAUGUACUGAUGCAUAAAAUAUUGCCAAGUAUCUAACAUCAACAUGGCAACAAAUAACUGUCUGCCAAGAACAAAGAUUGAAGUGUGUCGAUCCCCACCAGAUUCACCAUCAUCUCCUGUGACCUGCUCC
rnacentral:lncRNA from 1 species